UGUUCCAGUAGGGUUUGUACUGGCCUAUUUUAUUUCCUCCAACAAUGGGGUUCUUAAAUCUUACUUUUGGUUCUCCGGAUUCAGAUUUUCAAUGAGUUACAUUUAAAAAAAAAAAACGAAAAAAAAAGAUGCACUCUGACAUUGGGAUUCAUUCACAUUUAUGCUUUUUAAGCUAGAUAAGUGGAAAUGUUAAAAUUUAGCUGGAAUUUAAACGAUGGAAUUUAAACUUUUGGGGUAAGUUGUUUUGAACAAGUCCGCAACAGGCUCGCAGUUCCCCUGUGUGAAACCUCCUGGUCGCCCUCCAAGCUAGCCCACACCUCCUCCUAUAGAGGUAGAUUCAUCUCUCUCUAUUUUCCUCUCUCACGCACUCUAUCCAUCAUUCUUCAUUCUCUCCCUAAAUCACACCGUCAAUUUCUUUGGGGUUUUUUCAAUUUCUCUGAGAGCAAAUUCAAAUUUCUAGAGUAAUGCCCUUCUCUUCAACUUCCAAUUUCAAUUGUGGGGCUGUUUUCAUCAGAAAAAUUUAUGAAAUUCAGUGCACAUACACUCUGAAAAUGAUACAUUAAGAUGAAUAAGGUGCAAUUAUGUGUUGAGGUUCAAAUGUCAGUGAGAUGUUGCUGAUUUUGGAUCCAAUACUAAGGUCUUGGCCAAACCUGACGGAACCUUGAGCAUAUACAUGUAAAGAUACUGUGUUCUUUCCUCUUUGCAUAUCUCUAGUUUUUUCUUUAAAUUCUUUGCUAGUGUUAGGUUAAAUAUUUAACCUCCUAAAUGUUAAAUGUGUUAGUUUCUAUCUCCUUGUUACAUCACAUUUUUGGGUUUUUUUUUCCCCUUUGUCCCUUCAUGUUUUUUUCCCAUAGUGGUAGUGCUUUUUUUUGUCCCUUGUCCCUUCAUGGUUUUUUCCCAUAGUGGUAGUGCUUGUGCGUUCUUGACUGAUUUUGUUUUCAGUUUUAAUAUUAAUUAUACUUUAUACACCCAGAAGACCUCAGACCUUAUUUUGCCAUGACCCUCAUCAAGAUCUAUGUAAACUAAUAUGAUACUUUAUACUUUUUUAACUUGUAAGUGUUAACAGUGAAAUGAGCACAGGAUGUUCUGAUCUGAAACUUAAUCUUGAUAUAAUGUCUCCAUAAAACCUUCAUUAUUACCUUUUCUUGACAAAUAAAAAUUCAUUUUUAUUCUACAUUCAUCGCAAAGUUGACUAGAUAAAAUCAGAUGGAUGACUAUUUAUUGCCAUACACGCUUGAGGCACACCUAUUUACUUGUGAUUAAGGCCGUUGCUCUAUACAUGAGCCAUGGCACUUUGAUAUUGAGACACGAAUUGUUUCUUGCCCUUCCGUGUGAGUUAACUCCAAUCAUGACGCAAUGCCCUGCGGUCAGAUUUCCGUCCGUUGGGAAGCCAGCCUAAUCUGCAUGUAUGCUUCGACAGAGAAAUGAAUAUGAUGUGGACUUAGGGACAAUACCCUCAAUCAUCCAUUUCCAUUUCCAUUUCCUUUGGUUGUGUUUUUCUUCUUUUAUUACUAGAGCACAGUGGUGGUUGAGAUUUUUCUACAACACUAUGAACCAACAAUAUACAACUUCUGAAACAUCCAAACUUUUGUGUUUGGCAUAAAAAUCAUGGUACUUCAUUUUGGUACAUUUGUUAUCCAUUACAUUUGUAUUGAGAACCUGAGGUGAAUAGUGUCAAUGUUUAGGUUUCUUGUGUGGGACUUUUGCUUGUCUUCAGUCCUCAAGCUAAGUUUGUGAGGGUCAUAUAGUUUGGGUUCGAAAUAAUUGUGGUAGCAUUAUUAGCUUUGAGUAUUUCUUGGUGGGGAAGAUCUAUUUCUUGCAUUUAUGUGCAUUUUGCAGUACUUAGUACCGAAGAAAUAUAUAAAAAUGCAGAUAUUAAACAAUUCAAGUAUAUCUAAGUUGCAAAAAUUUAUCAAGUUAUAUUUCUUAAGGUUUAGUUCUGAUUUAAUUAUAGCUCUUUUGGCAUAACUUCAUAAUCAAGUUCUCUGAGUAAAAGUUUAAACGUUUUUGACAGUUUAAGCUUGCUUAGGAUAAAGAGAGUAUAGCCAAGAUUUGCAUAAUUAAUGCAUGCACCCCACAUGCUCCUUUUAUCAACGUGAGGAUAUGAUCGAUUGGCUGCCACUGACUUGCAUAUUACCACUUUACUAGCAUGUGUCGUUAUACAAGUGUUAUAGGUUGGUUGAGUUUUCUCGUUUAAGAGGUUGUCAAUUGCUUUAUAUCUGUUUAAUGGAGUGGGACAAUAGAGUCGUUCGUCUGUUCUUGUCUUCCUUAGCUAUAGGCCUAUAGCGUUAAAUAGUUCUUGUGCUGAUUUGUGAUACAAUUACCAAGAAUGAACAUAAAAUUACUUUUAACUUUAAUCUCAACUAUAGCAACGUUUGGUCGUUGACUUAGAUCCAUCAAGUUCACAUCUACAAUGACUAACCAACGGAGAGACACAACUGACCUCGAAAGAAUUAAGAGGAUGGUGGUAAUUUAUGCUGUAUAUGUGACCAGUUUAAGUGCAGUUGCCACAGUUCUAGCUACUGCUUUUCAUAGAAACAGGGGUUGCAAUCGAAAAGCAUUAGGCGCUAACUUCCAUUUCUUCAUAAUCCAUACGGAUGAAGUGAGUUGUCGUAACCAAAUAAGAAUGAGUCGAGCUACCUACUUGCAACUUAGGGAUGCUAUUGGUUAUCUCUAGAUGAACAAUUGGUUACAUUCUUGCACACAAUUAGUCACAACUUGAAGAAUGGCAAGAUAGGUCAUGAAUUUGGGUGCUCAGGGGAGACUGUCAGCCGACACUUCAAUCGCGUGCUGAAUGCAAUUCUAAGACUCCACCGUGAUUACAUCCACUGCCCACAAUUGGCUACACAAUCAGAAAUAAGUGGAGAUGAGAGGUUUUGAGAAUACUUCAAGGACUGUAUUGGGGCCAUUGACGGCACCCACAUCCCCGCUCUUAUUAGUCAUUAUCUUCAAGGUAAAUAUCGGAAUCACAAGGGCAUCACAUCACAAAAUGUUAUGGGUGUUUGUUCCUUCAAUUGAAAAUUCCAAUAUGUCCUUGAGGGCUAGGAAGGUUCGGCAUCGAAUUCUUAUUCUUCAAUAUUCACUCACAUGUGCGUACCCUCUUCCUGUGCCCCCUGGAAAAUAUUACUUAGUCGAUUCUGGCUACCCAAAUAUUCAAGAAUUUCUCUCUUCGUACCGCCAUACACGUUACCAUAGGAAUGAUUUCAAUCAUGGUAGUCAGAAUCCUCAAGACUAAUAAGGAAUUUUUCAACAAAACACAUGCUUCACUUCGAAAUGCCAUUGAACGUGCCUUUGGUGUCCUCGAAGCAUGGUUCCCUUGAAGGUUGCCACCAAUUAUCCAAUUAGGACCCAAGUGAACAUAGUCAUUGCUGUUUAUGUUGCAUAAUUUCAACAUGGAAGUUGAUGGUGAAGUACAAGAAAUUGGAGGAAUUGUCGAUGUGGAAGGACGUGAUGAGGACGAGACUUCCUCAAUCAGAGACAUUUAGGAGGAGUCAGAGGGAGAUGGGUGAUUGGGCAAAAUUUCGAGAUGAAAUGGCAAUGAAAAUGUGGAGGGAUCAUCUUGGCAUUGCUUAGUUUUCUUCUUGUUAGUCAACUGUUGUUUUAAUAUUGGAUUUUUAGUUUGUUAAGUACUAUGUAUGUCAUGUUGAGUUCGUGUUUUGAUGUAGUCAUGUGUUGGAUUUGUUCUUAUGACCAUGAAAUAUUGCUUUCCAAAUAGCUGUAUUGCUGUAGUGUCUUGGAACAUCUUCUAGGUUGUCUGAGUGUCAUUUUUAUCUUGCUGCGAUUGGGUGCAAAUGCAUGAGAGAGAGAGAGAGAGAGAGAGAG